CCGGAAGGCGGGAGCUUCCCUGAGAAGCUGCUGUGAUUUAACUAUCUGGAGAAAACCCCCGGAGAAGAAAGCUUUGUGAAGACUCUACCUUCCAGCAGCAGUUAAGUGUGCCAGCAUGUUCAGUUUCUCCACUGAGUCAUUGAAAAAACAAAGACCAGUCAACAAAGAAAAAAAAAAAUCCCAGCUACUGGGGAGGUCAAGGCAGGAGAAUGGUGAGUUCCAGGAGAGCCUGGACUUCCUAGCAACACCAGGUCCUAUCACUGGGGAUUUUUGGUCCUAUCUAUCGCCCACCUCGGGAAGACAGUCACCUGAUGUUUCUCCUCAAAGAGCACGGGCCCUGUGUUUAUCACGGGCUUUCCCGUCAUCCCUCUUGGUCGGGUGCUGUGUGCCAAGGGCGUUAGAAGACCCCAGCCCCAGCUACACCAUUUUGCUCUGAGCUGCUUCUGGUUCCCUUUGAACACUGAAGGAAGAUGGAGGCUGCAGAAAGCCAAAGGACGAGGACAAGCGGCAAACCC